UUGCUUUGGGAAUGCAGCUCUAAAUGGGUGGUAAAUUUCAUCUAAAGCUAAAUACUGGCCGGAGACCGAUAGGAACAAGUAGAGUGAUCGAAAGAUGAAAAGCACUUUGAAAAGAGAGUUAAACAGCACGUGAAAUUGUUGAAAGGGAAGCGCUUGCGACCAGACUCGCCCGCGGGGUUCAGCCGGCAUUCGUGCCGGUGUACUUCCCCGUGGGCGGGCCAGCGUCGGUUUGGGCGGCCGGUCAAAGGCCCCUGGAAUGUAGUACCCUCCGGGGUACCUUAUAGCCAGGGGUGCAAUGCGGACCAGCCUGAGACGCGAGGAACGC
rnacentral:rRNA from 1 species